rnacentral:rRNA from 1 species
AUUGAACGCUGGCGGCAGGCCUAACACAUGCAAGUCGAGCGGAUGAAGGGAGCUUGCUCCUGGAUUCAGCGGCGGACGGGUGAGUAAUGCCUAGGAAUCUGCCUGGUAGUGGGGGAUAACGUCCGGAAACGGGCGCUAAUACCGCAUACGUCCUGAGGGAGGAAGUGGGGGAUCUUCGGACCUCACGCUAUCAGAUGAGCCUAGGUCGGAUUAGCUAGUUGGUGGGGUAAAGGCCUACCAAGGCGACGAUCCGUAACUGGUCUGAGAGGAUGAUCAGUCAAACUGGAACUGAGACACGGUCCAGACUCCUACGGGAGGCAGCAGUGGGGAAUAUUGGACAAUGGGCGAAAGCCUGAUCCAGCCAUGCCGCGUGUGUGAAGAAGGUCUUCGGAUUGUAAAGCACUUUAAGUUGGGAGGAAGGGCAGUAAGUUAAUACCUUGCUGUUUUGACGUUACCAACAGAAUAAGCACCGGCUAACUUCGUG